rnacentral:rRNA from 1 species
GAUGAACGCUGGCGGCGUGCCUAAUACAUGCAAGUCGAGCGAACGGACGAGAAGCUUGCUUCUCUGAUGUUAGCGGCGGACGGGUGAGUAACACGUGGAUAACCUACCUAUAAGACUGGGAUAAAUUCGGGAAACCGGAGCUAAUACCGGAUAAUAUUUUGAACCGCAUGGUUCAAAAGUGAAAGACGGUCUUGCUGUCACUUAUAGAUGGAUCCGCGCUGCAUUAGCUAGUUGGUAAGGUAACGGCUUACCAAGGCAACGAUGCAUAGCCGACCUGAGAGGGGGAUCGGCCACACGGGACGUGAGACACGGUCCAGACUCCUACGGGAGGCAGCAGUAGGGAAUCUUCCGCAAUGGGCGAAAGCCUGACGGAGCAACGCCGCGUGAGUGAUGAAGGUCUUCGGAUCGUAAAACUCUGUUAUUAGGGAAGAACAUAUGUGUAAGUAACUGUGCUCAUCUUGACGGUACCUAAUCAGAAAGCCACGGCUAACUACGUG